UAAAAACAAAAGAAAGAGACGAUAUAUUAAGAUAUUUGUAGAGAGUUAGUGGCUGGUGGAAACUAAUAAGAUGCUUAAUAUAUAGAUCACUCUUGAUGUGUUACUUUGAAUAGUUAGAAGUAACCGGGAAUAACCCGUUAUCAAAAUAUGAGUGCACUAUCAGUGAAACAAGGUGGUACCGCGAAGUAUUUCGUCCUUGUA
rnacentral:ncRNA from 1 species